rnacentral:tRNA from 1 species
AAUAAGAUGCCUGAAAAAUAAAGGGCUAUUUUGAUAGAAUAGAUUAUGUAUAAUUAUACUCUUAUUG